ensembl:misc_RNA
CUAGGAGAACUGAAAACAGUUCUAGCCAGACCUGGGGUUUUAUAGCAGUUUUGGCAGUCAACUUCAGCUUGUGCCUGAGCAGACCGGCUGCGGCGGCCCGCCUGCGGGGGACGCCAGGCCGCCUCCCCCAGCUGCAUGCAGCCCCUCUCCUAAUUAGAUCGGUUUCCCCCUAGGUGUCAGGGAGAGGGGAUCCCGGCAGAAAGG